rnacentral:rRNA from 1 species
UGGUGUUCCUGAUCGGCUGUUUGACGGUACGCACAUGGUAUUAAGUCGCAUUGUAAGCGUUAAAUGUGCCGCAAGUAAGGUUGAUAUUUAGUAGUAUGGAUCUGAUGCCAUCGCUGAAGUUAACCAGCUGUUAGCAGGCAGUAUUCUUUAACUGACUUAAUUACCGGUCAGCGAUGCUACUGCUUUGGGUACUUUCAGGACCCGUCUUGAAACACGGACCAAGGAGUCUAACAUGUACGCGAGUCAUUGGGAUUUUAUAUAAAACAAACCUAAAGGCGUAAUGAAAGUAAAGAUUGUUGUAUGACAAUUGAGGGAAGAUGAGUUACUAAUAUAAUGUAAUUUCGCAUUCCCGGGGCA